UGGAGAACUGAUGAUUCCAGAUCCAUAGACUUCAUUCUGUAAUCCAGAUGAUGAAUCAUCAUUAUACAUGCACUACCAUCUGAUCUCCC